rnacentral:rRNA from 1 species
UGGCGACCGGCGCACGGUGCGUAACGCGUAUGCAACCUACCUUUAACAGGGGAUAACACUGAGAAAUUGGUACUAAUACCCCAUAAUAUCAUAGAAGGCAUCUUUUAUGGUUGAAAAUUCCGAUGGUUAGAGAUGGGCAUGCGUUGUAUUAGCUAGUUGGUGGGGUAACGGCUCACCAAGGCGACGAUGGAUAGGGGUUCUGAGAGGAAGGUCCCCCACAUUGGAACUGAGACACGGUCCAA